AUUGAACGCUGGCGGCAGGCCUAACACAUGCAAGUCGAGCGGAUGAAGGGAGCUUGCUCCUGGAUUCAGCGGCGGACGGGUGAGUAAUGCCUAGGAAUCUGCCUGGUAGUGGGGGAUAACGUCCGGAAACGGGCGCUAAUACCGCAUACGUCCUGAGGGAGAAAGUGGGGGUUCUUCGGACCUCACGCUAUCAGAUGAGCCUAGGUCGGAUUAGCUAGUUGGUGGGGUAAAGGCCUACCAAGGCGACGAUCCGUAACUGGUCUGAGAGGAUGAUCAGUCACACUGGAACUGAGACACGGUCCAGACUCCUACGGGAGGCAGCAGUGGGGAAUAUUGGACAAUGGGCGAAAGCCUGAUCCAGCCAUGCCGCGUGUGUGAAGAAGGUCUUCGGAUUGUAAAGCACUUUAAGUUGGGAGGAAGGGCAGUAAGUUAAUGCCUUGCUGUUUUGACGUUACCAACAGAAUAAGCACCGGCUAACUUCGUG
rnacentral:rRNA from 1 species